GAAUAUUUAACAUUUUCCCAAGAAAACAGUCAAUCUGUUAGUUUUACCCUUCUGCAUGCAACAAGAUGUGGAUGAUGCUUGGCUUCCCGAGCGCCCAGGGACAUGUUCCUGUUCUCCCACAUCUCGCGCAGACUGUGGGCGAGCUUUCCAGCUGGCUGCAGACGCUUCUGAAGACAGCCCUGCUGCCUGUUAACUGGUCAUCUGCAUCAGAACUUUCUACUACCGGCUGGUGGGUCUGUUUUGUGAGGCUCUGACAGAGAAAUCAUCUUUGGAAGACUCUUGCCUUGCCCAUCUUGACUGUUUAAUGAAGAGUUGUAUUAUAUUAAGAA
rnacentral:lncRNA from 1 species